rnacentral:rRNA from 1 species
UUGCGNNUGGGCGAAGCCUGACGCAGCGACGCCGCGUGGGGGAUGAAGGCCUUCGGGUUGUAAACCCCUUUCAGCAGGGACGAAGCGAGAGUGACGGUACCUGCAGAAGAAGCGCCGGCUAACUACGUGCCAGCAGCCGCGGUAACACGUAGGGCGCAAGCGUUGUCCGGAAUUAUUGGGCGUAAAGAGCUCGUAGGCGGUCUGUUGCGUCCGCUGUGAAAUCUCGGGGCUUAACCCCGAGCCUGCAGUGGAUACGGGCAGACUAGAGGUAGGUAGGGGAGAAUGGAAUUCCCGGUGUAGCGGUGAAAUGCGCAGAUAUCGGGAGGAACACCGGUGGCGAAGGCGGUUCUCUGGGCCUUACCUGACGCUGAGGAGCGAAAGCGUGGGGAGCAAACAGGAUUAGAUACCCUGGUAGUCCACGCCGUAAACGUUGGGCGCUAGGUGUGGGAUCCUUCCACGGAUUCCGUGCCGCAGCUAACGCAUUAAGCGCCCCGCCUGGGGAGUACGGCCGCAAGGCUAAAACUCAAAAAAAUUGACGGA